GAUGAACGCUGGCGGCGUGCCUAAUACAUGCAAGUCGAGCGAACAGACGAGGAGCUUGCUCCUCGGACGUUAGCGGCGGAGGGGUGAGUAACACGUGGAUAACCUACCUAUAAGACGGGGAAAACUUCGGAAAACCGGAUCUAAUACCGGAGAAGAUAUUGAAGCGCAGGGGUCAAUGGUAAGAGACGGUGGUUCGGGCAGGAAUAGAGGGAUCCGCGCCGUAUGAGCUAGUUGUUAAGUUAACAGCUUACGAAGGCAACGAGGCGUAGCCGACCUGAGAGGCUGAUCGGCCACCCUGGAACUGAGACACGGUCCAGACGCCUACGGGAGGCAGCAGUAGGGAAUCUUCCGCAAUGGGCGAAAGCUUGACGGAGCAACGCCGCGUGAGUGAUGAAGGUCUUCGGAUCGUAAAGCUCUGUUAUUAGGGAAGAACAAAUGUGUAAGUAGCUAUGCACGGCUUGACGGUAACUAAUCAGAAAGCAACGGCUAACUACGUG
rnacentral:rRNA from 1 species